rnacentral:rRNA from 1 species
CCUACGGGUGGCUGCAGUGAGGAAUCUUCCGCAAUGGGCGAAAGCCUGACGGGGCAAUGCCGCGUGGAGGAUGAAGGCCCAAUGGGUCGUAAACUUCUUUAGAUCAGAGACGAAUAGAUGACGGUACCUGAAGAACUAAGCAUCGGCUAAACCCCGUGCCAGCAGCCGCGGUAAGACGGGGGAUGCGAGCGUUAUCCGGAAUGAUUGGGCGUAAAGGGUCCGCAGGUGGCCCGGUCAGUCCGCUGUCAAAACCUGGGGCUCAACCCUGGACAGGC